rnacentral:misc_RNA from 1 species
GAUGAAGAACGUAGCGAAAUGCGAUAAGCAAUGUGAAUUGCAGAAUUCAGUGAAUCAUCGAAUCUUUGAACGCACAUUGCGCCCGCCAGUAUUCUGGGGGGCAUGCCUGUUCGAGCGUCAUUUCAACCCUCAAGCCCCCGGGCUUGGUGUUGGGGAUCGGCGUGCCCUCGCGGCGCGCCGUCCCCUAAAUCUAGUGGCGGUCUCGCUGUAGCUUCCUCUGCGUAGUAGCAACACUCGCACUGGAUCGCAGCGCGGCCACGCCGUUAAACCCCCCACUUCUGAAAGUUUGACCUCGGAUCAGGUAGGAAUACCCGCUGAACUUAAGCAUAUCAAUAAGCGGAGGA